rnacentral:lncRNA from 1 species
AUUGAAGACUAAAAAGCAAUGUCAACAGUCAUAUGUCAAUAUAAUAUGUACAUCAAUCAGGGUCACUAUCUUGAUCAUUUUCCGAUUUGUCAGGAGGCAAAUGGUGUCUCCAAAGAAAGUACAUGUACAGACAACAUGAAACUUUAGACUGCAGAAAAUUGCACAAGCAGUUGUCAAACUCGUGUCACAGAAGUGGUAAAGGACAUGUGUGACAACUGGAUGGUAUCCUUUUGUAAAGUUUUUGG